ACUAAAAAACUAGCUUAAACAACACAACAACCCUCCCAAUAUAAACCAGUUUCAAAAGAACAAAAACCACAAAUUAAAUCAUUUGACCUCCCCAGUAAAGGCGACUAAAAAGGAAAAUUGAAGCUAUAGACACAGUACCGCAAGGGAAAGCUGAAAGAGAAAUGAAAAAAAUCACUCAAGUAAAUAAAAGCAGAGAUUUCACCUCGUACCUUUUGCAUCAUGAUCUAGCCAGUCUACCCAAGCAUAGAGAACUCUAGUUUGACACCCCGAAACCUGCACGAGCUACUCCGAGACAGCCUUUAGGGCCAACCCGUCUCUGUGGCAAAAGAGUGGGAAGAGCUCUGAGUAGAGGUGAAAGACCUAUCGAGUCAGGUAAUAGCUGGUUGCCCGAGAAAUGAAUAGAAGUUCAGCUCCGCCACACCCCCAAUCCAAAAGUCCAACUUACAAAGACCACAGGCUAAUGACGGAAGUUAGUUAGGGAAGGUACAGCUUCCCUAACAAAGGACACAACCUUACCAGAAAGCUAAGGGAUAUAUCCAACUAAAGGCUACAGGCUUCAGUGGGCCUGAAAGCAGCCAUCUGAAUAGAAAGCGUUAAAGCUCAAACCCUUACUAGCCUAUCAUUACAUUAACCUUCCCCCACGCUCCUAAAAAUAUCGAGCCCUUUUAUGUACCCAUAAAAUAUACCAUGCUAGAACGAGUAAUAAGAAGAAUGACCUUCUCCAAGCACAAGCGUAAGUCGGAUCGGACCCUCCCCCGACAAUUAACGAAUCCAAAAACAGAGGAACCUGCACCCAGCCCCCAAAGCAAGAAAAGCACGCAUCUUCACCCCGUUACCCUUACACAAGAGUGCACACCAAAGGAAAGACUUAAAGGAAGAAAAGGAACUCGGCAAACCUAAACCUCGCCUGUUUACCAAAAACAUCGCCUCCUGCCCACCCCCGUAUAGGAGGUCCUGCCUGCCCCGUGACUAAAGUUUAACGGCCGCGGUAUUUUAACCGUGCGAAGGUAGCGCAAUCAAUUGUCUUUUAAAUGAAGACCUGUAUGAAUGGCAAAACGAGGGUUUAACUGUCUCUUUAUCCCAGUCAAUGAAACUGAUCUGCUCGUGCAGAAGCGAGCAUACCCACGUAAGACGAGAAGACCCUAUGGAGCUUUAGAUGUUAACCAACUCUUAAACACACACACAACAAAUGUACCAAAGAAACAGAACUCUGGCACAAACAUCUUCGGUUGGGGCGACCACGGGAAUACAAUAAAACUCCCGAGUGGACAGGGACAAACCCCUGAAACCAAGAACUACCGUUCUAAGGCACAAAAAUUUUGACCAACAAUGAUCCGGCCAAGGCCGAUCAACGGACCAAGUUACCCUAGGGAUAACAGCGCAAUCCUCUCCCAGAGUCCAUAUCGACGAGAGGGCUUACAACCUCGAUGUUGGAUCAGGACAUCCUGAUGGCGCAGCCGCUAUCAAGGGUUCGUUUGUUCAACGAUUAAAGUCCUACGUGAUCUGAGUUCAGACCGGAGUAAUCCAGGUCAGUUUCUAUCUACGGAGCCUUCCUUCCUAGUACGAAAGGACCGGAACGAAGAGGCCAAUACUUCAAGCACGCCUCACCCCCACCUAAUGAAAACAACUAAAUUAGCCAAAGGGGGGCCCACCCCGGCCCAAGACAAGGGCCAU
rnacentral:rRNA from 1 species